AACGCACAUUGCGCCCCUUGGUAUUCCAUGGGGCAUGCCUGUUCGAGCGUCAUUUACAGCCUCAAGCUCUGCUUGGUGUUGGGCGUUUGUCCCGCCUCGCGCGUGGACUCGCCUUAAAAGCAUUGGCAGCGGUUUGCCAGCCCGUAGCGCAGCACUUUUGCGCCCUCGGAGCCUGGCGGAUCGGCGACCAUCAAGUUUAUCCACAGUUUGACCUCGGAUCAGGUAGGGAUACCCGCUGAACUUAA
rnacentral:misc_RNA from 1 species